rnacentral:rRNA from 1 species
AUUGAACGCUGGCGGCAGGCCUAACACAUGCAAGUCGAGCGGAGCGGCGGAUGGGUGAGUAAUGCCUAGGAAUCUGCCGGGUAGUGGUGGAUAACGUCCGGAUACGGGCGCUAAUACCGCAUACUAUCAGAUGAGCCUGGGUCGGAUUAGCUAGUUGGUGGGGUAAUGGCCUACCAAGGCGACGAACCGUAACUGGUCUGAGUGGAUGAUCAGUCAAACUAGAACUGAGACACGGUCCAGACUCCGACGGUAGGCAGCUGUGGCGAAGAUUGGACAAUGGGCGAAAGCCUGAUCCAGCCAUGCCGCGUGUGUUAAGAAGGUCUUCGGAUUGUAAAGCACUUUAAGUUGGGAGGCGUUUCCAACAGAAUAAGCACCGGCUAACUUCGCGCGAGCAGCCGCGGUAAUAC